GGCGGUAGGUGAUCCUGCGGAAGGAUCAUUG
rnacentral:rRNA from 1 species